rnacentral:pre_miRNA from 1 species
UCUUAUGGGUGAGCAAAGAAAGUAGUUUCUUGAGGUAGAAUUUACUCUUGGUGAAGAUGCUGUGAA